UCCUCGGUUAUGAAAGUUGUGUGG
rnacentral:siRNA from 1 species